AUGAACACUCAGACCUCCGCUCCCUUUGCCACCACUGUGGACCCUCGCGCCGAAAAUCGCUUCUGGGGCGGUGGUCACCAGAAACAAGAAUUGGACACACCAUCAUGUUCGUCUCAAACUCCUCUACACGAAUAUCCUAUUGAUUUUUCCAAAUUCCAACCCUAGCUCACUAACCGUAUAGCUCCCUCAAGAACCCUAAAAAUCAAAUCCUAAAUUAAAUCCUAAAUAUGAGGAUUCAAAGCCCCGGGUUGGGGCUUUGAAUCAUCUCUCCACCCUCUACAUCUCAGUAAUGAAGGCAAGCAACGAAUUUGAAUGAAAAUUAACCUCUGCAAUAGAGUAUCAACAAUGCCGGAAUCGAAUGGCAAGAAAAUACCAGAGACACUUCAAGGGAGUUCCAUUUUGCUCAGGUUCAUGCAUGCCACGUUCUGACUUUGGCUCAUGCAAGUCAUUUGGACAAUGUACCAUCAAGAUUGGAUCUUGGACUAUCAUGUACAAAAUGCAAGCAUUCAAAGGUCAAGGAUCAAAGAAUGAAGAUUAGGGAUGGAAAUAGGAUUAGGGUUAGGAAAAUUAGGGUUUUUGGGAAUUGGGUUGACUUUGGUCAAAGUUGACCAAAAAGUCAAUUGUUGACCAAAGUCAACAUUUGGUCAAAGUUCACCCUUUUUGUAUUUUCUCAUGUAAUGGACACUUUUAUGGUUUAUGAAUGGAAAUUGAUGUUUUUAUGAAUGAAAUGGAUUGGAUAUUGAAUUAAA